AAGGGCACCACAAGAACGCGUGGAGCAUGUGGCUUAAUUUGACUCAACGCGGGAAAUCUUACCGGGUCCGGACACACUGAGGAUUGACAGACAAUCAUGUAUUUUUACGUAUUUAUACGUAAUAUACAUCAAAUAAAGAUGCUAGUUCUUUCAUGAUUAUGUGAUAGGUGGUGCAUGGCCGUUCUUAGUUCGUGGAGUGAUCUGUCUGCUUAAUUGCGUUUCACAAUUAAAAUACGAAUAUACGCAUUAUAGAUUGCUUGACCCCAUCCUUUACUGGGUGCGCUGUGUCUCGUAUCUUAUAUAUGCAUUCGUUAUUUCGAAAGCAACGAACGUGACCGUAUCCUUUUGUUAUAUACACUAUACGUAUAUUUAAAAACUAAAGGGACCGCUGUUUCUUUCUUAAACCAGAGGAAGGUUACGGCAAUAACAGGUCUGUGAUGCCCUUAGAUGUUCCGGGCUGCACACGUGCUACAAUGAUUAUUUCAGUAAGUAUCUAAAUCAAAAGCAUGUAUAGUGCAUUACGUAUAUUUUAUAUACGUAUAUACACACAUCAAAUCCUACCUCGAAAGUUAGGUGGGCAAUCAAUUAGAAGUAAUGAUUUCCUUAAAAUUAUUUGUACAAAAAUAUACAGCGUAUUCAUAUCCCAUAAAGAUAUUUUAUAUCUGCAUGCGUGUGUAUGAUACGUAUAUUUCCUAUACAUAGGUUAUAUAUUCUGUAUGUACAAUUGUUAAUUCAUGGUGGGGACAGACCAUUGUUAAUUAUUGGUCUCGGUCUUAACUAGGAAUGCCUUGUACGGGUCUUUGGUUCAUCAAACCACCCGGAAUACGUCCCUGCCCUUUGUACACACCGCCCGUCGCUCUUACCGAUGAACUUUACUAUGAAUUUGAGGGAUUUUAUUCAUUUAAAAAAACUUAAAUGAAUAGUGUGGUUUAAAGGAAAGAGAAGUCGAACAAGGCA
rnacentral:rRNA from 1 species